GCGAACGUAGCCCAACCAGGCAGAGGCAGCGGUCUCAGACGCCGUUCAGUGGGAGUUCGACUCUCCCCGUUCGCA
rnacentral:tRNA from 1 species